UUACAAUGGGAAGAUGGGGGAGGCAGCACACUGGGGUCAGGAGUGGAGAUACUUAGGCUCCCCAGAGAAAUUAGUCACAAGUCUUAUCCCUUCAUCUCCAUUUACAGCCAUUUAUUUGGGAGCAACAUACUUUAAAUGAGUGAUAAACAAAAUGUCUCCCCACAGCCCCCACCCCAGCAUGUGUUCUGAAGUUCACAGGAAGGCUUCUCCUCAUUUGCUUUGGGGCCCGCAGGCUGCCUGCUAACAGCUGGGUCUUCCCAUGAACAAAUUAGACAGUUAAUGUUCCAGGAUGAAGAGGGCUUCGGGGAACAGAAUCUGCCGUUUAUUUGACUUGCUUCAUUAGACACAGUGCCAUCAUACCAAAAUUAGAAAAAAGAAGGAACUCAGCGGAAAUCAGCUACACAAGAAGAACCUCUCAGUUCUGAGAAUUCACAUUAACCAGUGAUUAAGAAAUAUUAAAAAGGGCUGAUAGUCCACUACGUUAUCAAGUUCAAAGCCUAAGAAAUAUUGAACAUUUCCACACAUGAAUGUGGGUACUAUGUUUAAUUUGAGAAUGGCCAACUGUCCUCGAAGUCUCAAUCUCUUUGGAGCCUACCAGCUCCGAGAGAAGUUUGAGGAUGCUGCAAAACCCUCCCCUGCAAAUCCAUCUACUCCUCCCACUUCUAUCCUAAUGGGUAUAGUUCUUGGCUGUGCUGAGGAUCUGUAAGGCACCAGAUGUGAAAGUAAGGAAGAAAGAUGGAUGUGGAAGAAAGUCACUGCCCAGAGAAUAAGGAGACCUGGAUUCUAAUCUCAGCUCUGCCAUUAACUAGCUAUGAAACUAUGGCUCAAAAGGGAAUAAGAGAUCAAGGCAAGCAUGGACAUCUUGUACGUGGAAGUGCAGACCAGAACUUGUAUCACAGCCAGUCAUAUCUGGUGCUUUCCAUGCUACUUUUACAUACAUGUAUCCUUAAAUUUGAUCCUCUUCUAGUUUAGUCUAAACUCUUUACUUUGUAACUUCCAAACCUAAAAGGUGCAGCAGACAUUGACAAUCUUAAUUCAUUUGUCAGGUCA
rnacentral:lncRNA from 1 species